GACGAACGCUGGCGGCAUGCCUAACACAUGCAAGUCGAACGGAGAUUAUUUCGGUAAUCUUAGUGGCGAACGGGUGAGUAACGCGUAGGCAACCUGCCCUUUAGUUGGGGACAACAUUCCGAAAGGGGUGCUAAUACCGAAUGUGACAGUUUUUCCGCAUGGGAUUACUGUGAAAGAUGGCCUCUAUUUAUAAGCUAUCGCUAAAGGAUGGGCCUGCGUCUGAUUAGCUAGUUGGUGGGGUAACGGCCUACCAAGGCGACGAUCAGUAGCCGGUCUGAGAGGAUGAACGGCCACAUUGGGACUGAGACACGGCCCAG
rnacentral:rRNA from 1 species